UGCUGGAGGAAAGGCCACACUGGGUUC
rnacentral:piRNA from 1 species